CCCCUACAAUGUAUGUAAUUUUAAAUAUUUGUGAACUGGAUAUAGUGGUACAGAUGUGUAGUCCCAGAAUUUGCUAUAUGAGGUGGUUGCCUAUGUGCCCAGCACCUUCAUGGGGAUUUUGCGUAGGAAACACUGCUCAACCUCUCAACAGCACAGUGAGGGAGUAGAGGGCUUAGCCCCAUUGAACAGACGUGGAGCCUGAGGCUGGGGAGACCUUACCAUGAUUUGCUGAUGGGUUUAACAGCUAACCAGAUCUCUACUGCCCCCAUCCUUCUUCCUGAGAACUUCUCUUUACGACACCCUCCCACACACAGGCAUUCAGGUCCACCAGUGGACCCCCAACAGCCAGGAGAUCUAUUCCAGCGGUGGGCAGGAUGCGCCGCUGCUGCCAGAGUCACGGAGCCUGGCUUUAUUGUCAGGGUGAUGGGCAUGACUCAAAAGCCAGCACCUCCAAGGAAAAGGCCAGAUCUAGCCAAGCCCUGAAGCAGGACACUGGGGACCCAGGGACUAGCCCCACCCCACACUGACUUGAUGACCACCCCAGGAGCUUACUCCACCACCUUUUCCCAGCUGAAGAAGUGGGGGGUGAUCCUAGACCCUGUCAAGUUGACAAUGAGCAUUAAACCAUCACAAGGGAUAAUGGAAAUUCCAUAUCAAAAUGUGUUCAGCUACCAAGAGUCAGAGCGACACAGCUUAAACCACAUUCAGAAAUGGGGAAGCAAAUGUGUGAAGAGAGGCGGCAGAAAGGAGAAGAAAAAGAAUGAAAGGCAAAAGACGGGAGAAGAGGGGUUAGACAGUGGCCUGUAGUAAUGUGAGUGGUGGUCUGGAUAUGUCCAUGUGUCUGGCUGAGACAGGAGAAUUGCUUUAAGUUUAAGGCCAGCUUGGGUAAGAAGGGAAGGGAGAGGCAGGGUCUGCCCAGCCGCAGAGCCCUUCAGGCAGAUCCCAGUACUACCCUGCUCUCAAUUCAUGGAGCCCGUAACAGACAGCCCAGCUUCUGCAACCCCUACCCCCAGACAGCACCCCACCUUCCCAGGUCCCUUCUAAAGCCUAGAGGAGUUGGGGAGGUCAGAGUACAAAGCAAAGCUAAGAAACGCAGGGGAACUCAUGGGCACUAGGAAGGCCCCUUCUCAGCCACCCUCUACAGCCAGGCUACCCCACCCCCGGAAGCCCCCCUCGCUGACACCAGACCACGCCCCUUUUCCUUUUCUGGGCUACCACAUCUUCCCUGCUGCCUACCCUGUCCCCAGAGACCCAGAGCGAUGACCCUGCCAGCCCCUUGCAGGAAGACUUAAUUUGUGUCAGCUCUGUUAACCUUCCCAACAGGGCAGAUACUGAACCAUCCUCCUGGAUGGCUACCCGGGCAGAAGCCACCCAUUCCUGAGGGGCCGUUGUCACAUAGCACCCACUGGGCUACAGUUCUGAGGCCAAGGGCUCAGGAGGGUCUUGCUGUCUACAGGCCCCUGCCAGGAACCUGUUCUCUGCUU